rnacentral:rRNA from 1 species
CGCCUCCUGAAACUUUCAAUAAGAGGUCCAACCUGCCCAGUGAAUUUUCAACGGCCGCGGUACCCUGACCGUGCUAAGGUAGCGCAAUCACUUGCCCUUUAAUUGGGGGCUAGUAUGAAUGGUCAAACGAAGGUGACCCUGUCUCAUUGAGGUUUAUUAAAAAUUAUCCUCCACGUGAAGAGACCUGACUAUUAUAGAAAGACGAGAAGACCCUGUCAAGCUUCUACAUUUCAUAUGUUCAUUAGCCCUUGUCACAUGUUAAAUGUUUUGUUGGGGCAACACAGGAACGAAAUCUUCCUUAAUACAACUAUUAUACCUCAAAAAAUCCGGCCAAAGCCGAAUAAAGACAAAGCUACUGCAGGGAUAACAGGCUAAUCUGCUUCAAGAGCUCACAUUGACAAGCAGGCUUGGCACCUCGAUGUUGGCUUAAGAACCCUUUUUGGGGCAGCCCCCAGAAAAAGGAGGUUUGUUCAACCUAUAACUUCUUA